UACAGAGGUCUCAAGCGUUGGUCGGAUUCAUUGGGCGUAAAGGGUGCGUAGGUGGCGCCGUAAGUCGGGUGUGAAAUUUCGGAGCUUAACUCCGAAACUGCAUUCGAUACUGCGGUGCUUGAGGACUGGAGAGGAGACUGGAAUUCAUGGUGUAGCAGUGAAAUGCGUAGAGAUCAUGAGGAAGACCAGUGGCGAAGGCGGGUCUCUGGAGAGUUGCUGACGCUGAGGCACGAAGGCCAGGGGAGCAAACGGG
rnacentral:rRNA from 1 species